UUUUUUUUUUGUAACUACUGAACUGAAAUACCUACUUUUUUUUUUUUGUUUAAUUAAAAAAGGCCAUUUACUAACCCCUCCCCCCUCUCUAAUAAUGCAAAAAUUGACAAAUUAUCUGGCUCAACUCUAGUCACAACUGGACUACUUUAGCUUUAAAAACAAAUGCCUACUGGAUUUUGCUAGUUAUUGAAUAAUUCUUUAUACAAGAAGUGGAGAC